UGCAAUGGCCGUAUAUGGGGUUUUUGAUGCACUUUGCUCUCUAGUGGCUGGGCAUUUCACCUUUGGUCUCUCAUCUAUUUCGAUGAUUGUCUCGGGUGGAGCUUUAGUUCAGGGUGCUGUAUUGGUAUGGAUUCUACUGGCUCACAGUGUGACUGUUGGAGCUCUUGGCAUACUAUAUCCACUUCUCGUUGCAGCCUUGUGGGGCAUAGGUGAUGGAGUCUUGAAUACCCAGCUAAGUGCAUUGCUCGGGAUACUCUUCAAGGAUGAUCUGGAAGGAGCAUUUGCCCAACUUAAGCUUUGGCAGAGCUUUGCAAUUGCCAUAGUCUUUUUCCUCGCCCCCUACAUCUCGUUGCAGACAAUGUUAGUGAUUAUGUUCGUUGCCCUUUGCUUCUCCGCUCUUGGUUUUCUUUUCUUAACUCUUAAAGUAG
rnacentral:misc_RNA from 1 species